GACGAACGCUGGCGGCGUGCUUAACACAUGCAAGUCGAACGGGCCUUGUCCCCUUUUUUUUGGGGGUGGGGUUAGUGGCGAACGGGUGAGUAACACGUGAGUAACCUGCCCCUCACUUCUGGAUAACCGCUUGAAAGGGUGGCUAAUACGGGGUGUUCUGGCCUGCUCGCAUGGGUGGGUUUGGAAAGAUUCGACCGGUUUUGGUUGUUUUGGUGGGGGAUGGGCUCGCGGCCUAUCAGCUUGUUGGUGGGGUGAUGGCCUGCCAAGGCUUUGACGGGUAGCCGGCCUGAGAGGGUGGGCGGUCACACUGGGACUGAGACACGGCCCAGACUCCUACGGGAGGCAGCAGUGGGGAAUAUUGCACAAUGGGCGCAAGCCUGAUGCAGCGACGCCGCGUGAGGGAUGGAGGCCUUCGAGUUGUGAACCUCUUUCGCCAGUGAAGAAGGUCCUGCUCUUUGUGGUGGGGUUGACGGUAGCUGGGUUAAUGAAGCGCCGGCUAACUACGUG
rnacentral:rRNA from 1 species